rnacentral:rRNA from 1 species
UACGUAGGGUGCGAGCGUUGCCCGGAUUUAUUGGGCGUAAAGGGCGCGUAGGCGGUGCCGUACGUCCGUUGUGAAAUCGCUCGGCUCAACUGGGCGGGGUCAGCGGAUACGGUGGCACUUGAGCAAGCUAGGGGCAAUGGAAUUCCCGGUGUAGUGGUGGAAUGCGUAGAUAUCAGGAGGAACACCGAUGGCGAAGGCAGGUCUCUGGGCUGACACUGACGCUCAUGCACGAAAGCGUGGGGAGCAAACAGG